GAUCUCCUGACCUUGUGAUCCACCCGCCUCAGCCUCCCAAGAUUAUGACUCUUGAAAAACAGACUUCAGAGCAUCAUACAUUGAACCUACCUGAAAACUGGGUGUGUACUUCCAGACAGGUCUGGGAAGCCAUCCAGACAUUCAUGUACAUUUUUUAUGUGUCAGCUGUUGCAUGAGUAUUUUGAGAAGCAGUUUUUGAGAAGUCACAGCAGGAAUCUAGCUUUUGUGUUCUGAAGUACCAGCUUUAUUGCAGCUCAAACAAAAAUAAAAAGGAAACAGUGUCAUUACCCGGCAGGUUUUUCAGUACAGUUCCAGCAGGGUUCUCUCUUUUCUAGCUCCAACAUGCUUACCUCCCCAGCCUUGUGAAAAAGAAUCUAUCUUGGCAGAACCUGAACCAAAUAUGAAACACAGUUUCAACAUUUUCCUGCCAUUUUUCCUGGGAAGUACUUUCAUCAGAACAUUUUGAUUUGCUGAGAACAUGUGUACCUCUUCUUUUGAGAGACAGAACAUUCUUUAAUUUGGUGACCUCAAGAGGCUUUUUACCUUCAACUGGAGGUGGGGAGGGGGGAAAUGCAACUCCAAUGGAUAGGUAAUUGUACCUCUCAGCCACACACUUUCUUGCUGAGCUAUAUAAUGGUUCAUGAGCUCUUAACUGAGACUUAUAAAAGUGUUCUCAAUUGUUAGUUCAAGGUCUGUAGCCAGCUUAGAAAUUGUUAAAAUGUACAAAAUAAAUGAGAAAAAAACAGCAAGGAAAGAAAUUCUAGGUCAUGCUUUUAUGAGCUGCUUGACAAAAAAAAAGCAGGUUUUUUCAGAGGAUGGGAACAAUUUCAAUGUUCAGUUUUCUAUACCAGUGGGAUUGUGAGGCACAAUAUGUACAUCUCUGGUGCAGGUGAGUCAAUGAUUAAAGAGAGUUUAAUUCUAGGCCCCAUCAUGUGUCAAUAUAGUAAAUGGUAUGGGAUCCUGCCAAAUACCAGAAAUCCUAUAUUGUAUAAUUCAGUUAAAUCUCCACAUUGUAUUCUCCUUUGUGAUAAUGAGUUAGGAAAAGGCUUUUGAGUUGAGGUAAGAGACAGGAAACAAAGUGAUGAUACAGCAGGAGUAUAUUAAAUUUUCAGAAGAGUUCCAAAAUAUCUUACAUAAACUUGAGGAAAAAUAUUGUAGUGCCCAUAGAAAAUGACAUACAUGAGUGAGAUGAUGGUGCCAGGUCAAGAUGUUUUGCUGUGCUAGGGCACAGAGUCAUCACCAGUGUUGUGCAGUAUGCAACAUGGUUCUCCCAUGUCUCUAGGGUGUCUCUGCCUUAAACAGCAAUAACACAAGCCCUCAUAUGCUGAACCUCCGAGUGACACAACACAGGCCAUCUUCCUGGACUUGAAUUAGUCUUGUUUUUUACUGCGCAUUUUUAAAAUGACCUCAUUAUUGAAGAGUAAUAUCUGUAUGAUAAUGGAUUCAUGCCAAAAAUAAUUAUCUCCAAGGUCUUAAAGUUAGAUACUAACUUAAAUAUUAGACUCCCAAUGUGGAGUCUAAUAUUUGCCCAACCAAAACAUUGCUGUCACUCUGAAUCUCUUCUUUCCACCCCUUCUAGUUGCUUGACUUUUUCUGAUUAACUUCUAGUCAUCUCCCAGAUCUCAGCCCAAACAUCACUUUCUCAGAGAAGCCUUCUCUGACAUGGUCUUGAUGGAGUUGAGUCUCUGUAAUAUACUCUUUCUAGCCCCAUAUAGCACAUGUCACAGUUGAUUAUAUUUGUAUGAGUAUGGGACUAAUGGCUGUCUCCCAUCAUCUCCUCAGAGCUACCACAGUGUCCAGCUUUGUAGCAGAUCUUAAAAGGAUGUUGGUUAAUCAAUGAAUAAAUGUAUCAUGAAUAGACAAGCAAGUUGAAGGAAUAGAAUAGAGAAACUGGAGUGGAUGUACUUCCUACUGGGAGGAGAGGAAGAAGCCAACAAUCUUGACUUUAUUUUUAGAUAGAAAACAAACCACCCUAUCAUAACUUUCACAAGCUACGUGGAAAAUUCAGCAAAAUCGUUUUCUCUUUCCACUUUACUGAACUUAUGAGGCAUGUUGCCACUUUUCUGCCCCUCUUAACAUUGAGCACCAUGCUCAUCAUUAAAACACACACACACUAUAUCAAGAAAUGUAAGCCAUAUCUGAUACGUGGGAUGAUUAUUAUGUAAUUGAGAUGAAUAGAUCCCUGAGAGAGAUACAGAGAGAAAUGAGACAGCUGAGGCAGACACAGGGCCUACAGGCCUUCUCCUAGGGUGUCUCCGCCAUAAGCAGCAAUAACACAAGCCCUCAUAUGCUGAACCUCCCAGUGACACAACACAGGCCCUCCUCCUGGACCUGCAUUAUCCCAGUUUUUUACUGCAUGUUUUUAAAAUGACCUCAUUAUUGAAGAGUUAUAUCUGUAUGAUAAUGGAUUCAUGCCAAAAAUAAUCAUCUCCAAGGUCUUAAAGUUAGAUACUAAAUGCAAAUGGUAAAAACUGCCCUCUUUCUCUCCGAUUCAUUUUACUGCUCACUCCACCCUUUCCUCACACUCUUAUUAUCUUUCCUAAAAAGAAAAAAACUUUUUUUUCUCCAAGUUAGGAUUCCUUGUUUCAUUGCUUUACCCAGUGAGAAAAAGCUCAGGACUACAUUCAUGGCUAUUCCCAGAGCCAUUCUGCAAUUCUUUCAACCAUCACCUCUCCCAUUUCCCCAGUGGCACAAGGCUUACCCAUUCCCUCCAUCAGCUGCCUAGAGAAGACUGCAAGUGAGAGGAGAUCACAAUGGCAAUAACGGGAAGCAGUCAAUAUCAAGGAGUCCCAGUGAUACUAGUAAAAACAGACAUGGCCGAUCCACAAGUCAGCAGUGAGAGUCUACACAUUGAUCUAGCUCUUGAAAUGGGAAAUACUGGUAUAGUAUAUCACUUACGGAGGUCUGAUUUAAUGCUCAUUUAAGUGAGCCACCCACUCCCUGCUUCUCUUUUGGGUCUCCUUUGCAAAAUCGUUUGUAAAAUAAAGGACAUAAUAUCACGAUUCUCAACUUCUUCACAUAUAUGUAGCAUUGCAUUAUGAAUAACCAUACAAUUUCAGUACUCUAUUUAAAUUAUUAUGUGUUACAUUCCCUCCUGUUUCCUUUUUUCCUACAGACUCUGUAUAGGCAUACCUCGAAGAUAUUGUGGGUUGGAUCCAGACUACUACAAUAAAGAGAGUAUAAUAAUAAGUUAAGUCACAUAAAUUUUUUAUUUACUUAUAUAUACACUAUAUUGUAGUCUAUUAAGUAUGCAAUAGCAUUAUGUCUUAAAAUUUGUGUAUAUCUUAAUUUAAAGAUAUUUUAUUGUGAAAAAUGCUAACAAUCAUCUUGAGCCUUCAGUGAGUUAUAAUCUUUUGGCUGAUGGAGCAUCUUACCUCAAUUGUGGUGACUGUUGGCAGAGUGGUGGUUGCUGAAGGAUGGGGUGGCUAUGGCAAUUUCUUAAAAUAAAACAAUGAACUUUGGUGUAUCUGUCAACACUUCCUUUCAGAAGAGUUUUCUGUAGCCUAUGAUGCUGUUUAACAGCAUUUUACUAUCAGUAGAACCUCCUUCAAAAUUGGAGUCAAUCUUCUCCAACCCUGUUGCUGCCUAAUCAACCAUGUUUAUGUAACAUUCUAAAUUCUUUGCUGUUAUUUCAACAAUGUUCACAGGGCCGGGCACGGUGGCUCACGCCUGUAAUCCCAGCACUUUGGGAGGCUUAGGUGGGCAGAUCACGAGGUCAGGAGAUCAAGACCAUCCUGGAUAACACGGUGAAACCCCGUCUCUACUAAAAAUACAAAAAAAUAGCCGGGCAUGCUGGCAGGUGCCUGUAGUCCCAGCUACUCAGGAGGCUGAGGCAGGAGAAUACUGUGAACCCAGGAGGCGGGGUUUGCAGUGAGCCAAGAUCGCACCACUGCACUCCAGCCUGGGUAACAGAGCGAGACUCUGUCUCAAAAAAAAAAAAAAAAAAAAAAACAAGGUUCACAGCAUCUUCACCAAGAACAGAUUCCCUCGCAAAAAAACACUUUCUGGCCAGUUGCAGUAGUUGCUGUAAUCCCAGCAAUUUGGGAGGCCAAAAUGAGAUGGUCACUUGAGCCCAGGAGUUUGAGACCAGCCUGGGCAACAUAGGGAAACACUCUCUCUCCAAAAAAAAAAAAAAAAAAAUCAAUUUGCUGGGAAUGAUGGUGCAUACCUAUAGUCCCAGCUACUCAGGAGGCUGAGGUGGGAGGAUUGCUUGAGCCCAGAAGGUCAAGCUACAGUGAGAUGUUAUUGUGCCACUGCACUCCAGUUUGGGCAACAUAGUGAGACCUUGUCUCAAAAAUUAAAAAAAAAAAAAAAAAAAAAAGGAAAAGAAAAAAGAAACCACUUUAUUUGUGCAUCCAUAAGAAGCAACUCCUCAUCACUCAUCCAUCCGAGUUCUAUCAUGAGAUUGCAGCAAUUCAGUCCCAUCUUCAGGCUUCACUUAUAAUUGUAGUUCUCUUGCUAUUUCUACCAUAUCUGCAGUUACUUCCUCCAUUGAAGUCUUCAACUCCCCAAAGUUAUCCAUAAGAGUGAUAAUCGACUUCUUUCAAACUCCUGUUAAUGUUCAUAUUUUGACUUCCUCUUAUGAAUCACAAAUGUUCUUAAUGGCAUUUAAAAUGGUGAAUCCUUUCCAGGAGGUUUUCAACUCACUUUGCCAAGACCUAUCAGAGGAAUUAAUAAAAUAUAAAAUAUAAAAAUAACAUCAAUGUCCUUGCACAUGUCCAUCAGAGCCCUUGGAUGACCAAUUCAUUAUCAAUGAGCAGUAAUAUUUUGGAAAUAAUCUUUUUUUCUGAACAUUAGGUCUCCACAGCGGGCUUAAAAUUUUUAGUAAACAGUCUGUAAAAAGACUUGCUGUCGCCCAAGCUGUGUUGUUCUAUUUAUAGAGAACAAGCAGAGUAGGUAUAGUAUAAUUCCUAAGGAACUUAGGAUUUCCAGAACGAUCAAUGAAUAUUGGCUUCAACUUGAAGUUGCCAGCUUCAUUGGCCCCUAACAAGAGAGUCAGCCUGCCCCUUAAAGCUUUGAAGUCAGGCAUUGACUUCUCCUCUCUAGCUAUGAAAGUCCUAGAUGGCAUCUUCUUCCAAUAGAAGGCUGUUUGUCUAUAUUGAAAGUCUGUUGUUUAACAUAGCCACCUUUGUCAAUUAUCUUAGCUUGAUCUCUGGAUAACUUGCUUCAGCUUCUCCAUCAGCACUCACUGCUUCACCUUGCACUUUUAUAUUAUGAAGAUGGCCUCUUUCCUUAAACCCCAUGAACCCACCUUUGCCAAUUUUAAAUUUUCUUCUGUAGCUUCCUCACUUCUCUCAGCCUUCAAAGAACUGCACAGAGGUAUGGCCUUGCUCUGGAUUAGGCUUUGGCUUUAGGGAAUGUUGUGACUUGUUUGAUCUUUUAUCCAGACCACUAAAACUUUCUCUGUAUCAGCAAUGAAACUAUUUCACUUUCUUAUCAUUUGUGUGUUCGCUGAAGUAGCACUUUUAAUUUUCUUUGAGAACUUUUCCUUUGCAUUCACAACGGUUUGGCUCAAGAGGCUUAGCUUUCAGCCUACCUUGGCUUUCCACAUGUCUUCCUCACUAAUUUCAAUCAUUUCUAACUUUUGACUGAAAGUGAGAGAUGUGCCACUCUUCAUUUCACUUUAACACUUAGAGGACAUUGUAGGGUUAUUAAUUGGUCUAAUUUCAAUAUUGUUGUGUCCCAGGGAAUAGGGAGGCCUGAAGAAAGGGAGAGAGAUGAGGGAAUGGCCAAUUGGUGGAGCAAUUAGAAUGCCCAUAUUUACUUACUGAGUUUCCUGUCUUAUAUGGGCACAAUUUGUGACACCCCAGGACAGUUAUAAUGGUAACAUCAGAGAUUGCUGAUUACAGAUCUGCAAAACAGAUAUAAUAACAAGAUUUGAAAUAUUGCAAGAAUUACCAAAAUGUAACAGAUUGAAGUAAAGUGAGCACCUGCUCUUGGAAAAAUGGUACCAAUAGACUUGCUUGAUGCAGUGUUGCCACAAACCUUCUAUUUUUUAAAAAUGCAAUAUUUGCACAAAGCACAAUAAAGUGAAGUGCAAUAAAAUGAAGUAUGCCUGUAAUUGUCAUAUGUGUUCCAAAGCCCUAUCUAAACCAUUCAUAGUGAUAACAAUCCAAAAUAUUUUUAGAAUCUCCAGAAAACUUGAUUCAUUCUCUACAUUUUAGAAUCACAAUUAUAUCUAGAAUGUAUCUUGAAUAUUAUCUGCAAUCUUUAUUUACAAUACUCUCUUGUUCAUUUAUUUAUUUAUCUGAUUUUUUUCAGUAAACAGAAUAUUCAAUCCUAAGAGUCAUGAAAACCUCAAGUUUGAGCUCUACUCUAGUUGGUUGUAUGACUUUAAAAGUAGUACUUUAUAUCUCAGUAAUUAAAUUUUAUACUCUAUAAAAUUAAGGGUUUAGUCCAAUGCAUUUUAAAGGUCCCUUCCAGUUUCAAUGUUUAAGAUUUAAUAAUUACAAUAAUUGUUUACAUUAAUGAGUGCCAGCCAUUCUACUUAGCACCUAACAUAAUUUACCUCAUUCAAUCUUCCUAAAGCUCUAUGAAAUAAGUGCUAUUAUUAUUGAUAUUUUACCAAUGAGAAGACUGAGGCACAGGGAAGUUACAUAACUUUCCUGAAACCAUUCAACAGAAAGCAUAAAGCUGGAUGGAAAUCCAAGUAUGACUUAUUCUACUCUGAACAACAUCUAAAUCAAAGGGCAGUCAGACUGGAGUGCAGUGGGGUGAUCACAGCUUACUGAAGCGUCGACCACCAGUACUCAAGCAAUCCUCCCACCUCAGCCUCUUGAGUAGCUGGGACUACAGGUAUGCACAAUCACACCCUGGCUAAUUUUUUAUUUAUUUAUUUAUUUAUUUAUUUAUUUAUUUAUUUAUUUAUUUUGUAGAGAUGGGGUCUCACCAUGGUGGUCUGAAACUCCUAGACUCAAGGGAUCCUCCUGCCUUGGCCUCCCAAAGUCCUGAGGUUACAGGUAUGAGUCACGGCUCCCAGCCAUAAAAAACAAAGCUCUGAGAACUUAAAUAUUUCACCCACAGUCAUACAGCUAGUAGAGGUUGAAGCCAGAAGUAGAUGCACUAUUUCUUAACUAUGAGGCCCGUGUGCUUUCUGUUGCACCACUCUGAAAAGCAGUACUGUAUCCCUCCAAAGAUAUAAACAUGGAUGUUCCCAUGGCAACAUAAACAGAUAAGGGGAAAACUCUCAAAGAUCUCCCAUAGAUGCACUAAAUGAGAAGCCUCUG
rnacentral:lncRNA from 1 species